GAAUUCUUUGCGCAGGUCUCUCGGUCAUUCACUCCUCUAGUGAUUUGACGGUAGUGAAACAGAGCUCUGACAGAAUACUGGCUGCAUUUUCAGGUAGUGUCAAUAAAUAAAGUAAGUUGAAUCUGAACCCUGUCCAGGGUGUACCCCGCCUCGUGCCCGAUGCUCCCUGGGAUAGGCUCCAGGAUUCCCUGUGAACUUGAAAAGGAUUAAGCGGUAGAAGAUGGAUGGAGUUAUUAUAUAUAUUUAAAAAACAUAUUUAUGGACUUUAAUGUUGUGAAUUCUUUAUAUUUCUGGAUUUCUUGAGUUAAUACUGAUGUCUGGUGAAAAUUUCAUGCGAAUAACCUCAUUGGAAAUACAUUUACUGAAACAAAUAUUGACGCGUACUGUAUAGUAUACAUUAUUUGUAAAAAUAAUAAAAGUCACACAGAAUAUGAUCUUUUAUUUUACAAGUAUCCUUUUUCUUUAGGGUACAUUUGUGUUCUCUCUGGUCAAAUUCACUCCUCUGAAGUUUAACAAUAUAACUGAAUACCCCUGGUGGGGCUAUGCUCUUGCCUGGUACUUCACACUCUCUUCAACUAUUGGUUCCUCUUUGGAUGAUCUAUGCUCUCCUCACUUCCACUGGCUCACUGAGACAGAGAUUACAUGCUCUCUGCACCCCAGAAAUAAACCUUCCUCAGAACUCAAGCAGAAGAAAAAAUGGUUCAACUUUUAUUGGCUUUACAGCAGUACCACGAGGGCAAGAACAUCCUUGAAGUAAAAGCAUGGUGUUUGAUUUGGGGUACUUGUCUACUAUAGGGGUACUUGUUUAUUUGUCUCAUUGUACAUCAGCUCCUGAACAUAACUUUUACACACUGUCAUGUGUUAAACAGUUUCAUGCAAAAGUUCUGUUCUACAAUAUUAGAGUAUUUCAGGUUUCUCUGUAUACAUCAUGACCAGAUAACCUAUCGCACCGAAUUAAUUAUGUUUUUGCUAAAUGAAUAUAUAUUACUUUGAUAUGGCAACAGCUUGAUGUAUGCAGUGAAGAUCAGUACAGUGUAUAUAUAUAUAUAUAUAUAUAUAUAU
ensembl:lncRNA